CACGUAGGGGGCAAGCGUUGUCCGGAUUUAUUGGGCGUAAAGAGCUCGUAGGCGGUUCGGUAAGUCGGGUGUGAAACCUCCAGGCUCAACCUGGAGACGCCACCCGAUACUGCUGUGACUAGAGUCCGGUAGGGGAGCGUGGAAUUCCUGGUGUAGCGGUGAAAUGCGCAGAUAUCAGGAGGAACACCAGCGGCGAAGGCGGCGAUCUGGGAAGAUACUGACGUGAGGUGCGAGAGCGUGGGGAGCGAACCGG
rnacentral:rRNA from 1 species